UACGUAGGUGGCGAGCGUUUGUCCGGAUUUAUUGGGCGUAAAGCGCGCGCAGGCGGUCGCGUAAGUCUGCUGUGAAAUCUCCCUGGCUCAACCGGGAGGGGGCGGCGGAGACUGCGGGACUGGAGGGACCUAGAGGCCGGUGGAAUUCCCGGUGUAGUGGUGAAAUGCGCAGAUAUCGGGAAGAACACCCGGUGGCGAAGGCGGCACUCUGGGACGGUACUGACGCUGAGACGCGAAAGCGUGGGGAGCCGAACAGG
rnacentral:rRNA from 1 species